AAAAGAAAAGAAGAGAAAAAGAUUAGCAAGAUAUUUUGCAUAUCCUCGAGUCGCGCGUGCGAAUCCGGAAUGUGUUUUUAUCGCGAACAGAUUUUCGGGGACAGAAAUUCCGCGCACAGGGAAUCGCAGCAGUUAUCGCGGCGAUAACGCUCGAUGAUGAUGUGCCGUGCUCGAUAAGCGAUAUGCGGAUUCCAACGGCUACCUACCGAUUUUUUUUUUAAUUCCUUUGUUUACUACCGAUCGAGCGAGCGGGAUUAUUAUCGGGAGGCGAGUCGAAUUAAUCGGUUGUGCCGUUCAGUCAGUUUUUAAACCGUGCGAAAACUAGCUGCCUGUGUAUAAUCGUAUCAGAGGGGGGGAAUGAAGCGCGAAGGAUCCGCAGUGGGAAUUUAUUAAUCGGUCCCCCCCCCCCCCGUUAACGAGAUCGCGUUCGAUCAACGGGUCAACGAACUUGGAUCCCACGCACAUUUGCCACGAUUUCGUUUAUUUUAUUUAUUGAAGUAGCAGUUUCCCUCCUCCUCCCCGCGUCAUGGUGUGUUCCGCGAGUGUGUAAAUCAUUGGUUGUGAAAUAUCGAAUUCCGCGUGAUUUACUACAGGUUUUCGAGAUCGCGGCUGUUAUCGUGCAAUCGAAAUCUACCGUGUGCGAGCCAGUUCCUUCCAGACCGUUCGUAAUUUCGUUUGUUACCCGACGAUUUUAUUCCAGAUUCGGCGUGCAACGGUGUAAUAUUGUACAAUUUGAUCAUUGUGCGGAUUAUUCUUUUUUAAAAUAUCGUUACGUAACACCAUUCGACACUAUCCCCGUUCAUUCUCGAGAUGGAAAAUUUUCUUCGAUGAGAUUUCUCGAUUGGAAGAGAGAGAGAGAUUGAAUAUUUCGUUAUCGAGAUAAUUCUCGAUGGAGGGAAGGAAAUUUGAUAUUUGAGGUGUUCGUUAAAAAAGAAAAAGAAAAACAUUCCGAUCCAUCGACGACCAAUCGCUAGAGUUUCCAUUUACUAGUUUCUAAUCUAAUGAACUUUGCGCCACCUUGAGCAACCUUAUCGGUGCAUUCACGAACGUGGCAACGCAUGUUACGUGGUGCAUCGAUUUAACUUGGCGCAAAUUUUAAGGCCAGCCUUAAAAAACCGCGGGAAUGCUCCUCGCGUUUGAUACCGAGUUUCGCGUGGAUUCCCCUCCUUCCUCCUUCCUUCUUCCCUCUUCCCCGCUCGAUUUAUACCUCGCUGUCUAUUUUUAACCGACUCGUCGUCGCUUAUCGCUUUUUUCGAUCAACGAUUCCUUCUUCGCGGAGCGGAAAGAGAAAAGAUAACGACUUUUCCUUAUUUUUCUUUUUUUUCUUUUUUUUUCUUUUCCACACCGAUCGUCGUUUCAUAUAGUUGUAGAGAAGGAGCGAGAGAAAAAAAAAUUAUUGGCACUUCAAGUCGUACACGCUUUCAUGCUCUAGUGGGGCGUUAAUCGUUCUUAAGUGUUGCCAUUUUUACGGUGAUAUAUCGACGCGCAAACAUAAUAUUACUCGUGACGUCCCUCGUAAAUCGACGAUGAUAACAUUGUAAUACGCCAUUACCUUUACGAUAGGCGUUAAUUGCCGGUGACGAAAACCGAUCGCACGCGUGUACUAACCAUUGUUCCACCAUUGGUUGAAAAUUUCCUUUCCUCUCAAGGACUCUAAAAAAAAAAGACUGGCCGAUAAUUCUAAUUUCUUAAUCCAAAUCGGAUCGAUCGAUUCGCGCAAGGAAUUUGUUAACGCGAUUUAUUAAAUCGAAAUUAUUAAAUCGAAUUGUUAACACGAUUUAUUAAAUCGAAUUGGGAUUCGUUCGAUCUUACGAUUAUAAACAAUUCGUAGAUUUUUUUUUUUGGAUGGAAUUGGAAAUUUUUUUUUUUUAUCCGAACGAAAAGAACUCGCGAAAUUUUUCCGUCUCGGGACGGAUUCGGUCUGAUAAGUUCGAUACGGUUAAUUUAUGUGAGUAUACGAUGAUAAGGAAGAGAAGGCUGAUAAGAAAAAAUACGCUGAUAGGUGGAAAAGUUAAAUGCGUUUCUAACUGCAACGACCGUGGCCCAGUAUGACUGGAGAAAAUUCAACAAUAAUAGGGAAAGGAAAGGAAAAAUAAGUGCAACUUUUUCUCAUAUGUGUAUAUGUGUGUGUGCGUGUAAAUGAAAGAUAGGAUGAAAGAAAGUAUGUAUUUCGUUAAUUAAUUAUGGAUUUAUCGAUACGGAAAUAGGGUCAGCGAUAAUUAACGCAAUUAAUACGACACGAUUCGCUAACGGGACUCAUUGAUCCGUUAUUAAAAACUGUGAUUUAGCUUGAUUAUAAAAUCGAACAACGGACUAAUAAUCUAAACUACUACUUGAUAAAAAUAUUCUUAUCUUCGAUCGACUAUAUUUAAUGGAACUUCGAACGAAAUAAUGCGUAUAUUUCAUCGAGAUUAUCGUUUGGAAAUCGAUAUAAAAUCAAUCAUCCUGUAAAAAUUUAUUAAAAAUUAAUUUCACUCUGGACUAAUGAUAUAACUCUACAGUGAUAUCUUGUCGAUCUUUAAUUAUCGAUAAUUAAAAAAAAAAACAAAAUCACUGAAAUCACUCAAACGCGUGCACGAGAAUCUCUUUCGUACGCACAUCUUCCGUACCAUUUCGAUCGAUAUCGAAGCCAUUCGGUUUCACCGAUCGAUGAUUUCAGCGUUUAAAUUUCUACUUGCCGUUUGUCGGACGUGAUUCAAGGGCGAGCAAGCCCGAGAAAGAGAGCGACGAGUAAACUGGUGGAAGGGGGAGGGGGUGGGAGGAGGAGGAGGAGGAGGAGGGAGGGGAGCCACGGUUGUCCCCGGAACAGGCCAUUUGCCACGAAAGUUCGUACAUUGUUCGCCGACGAUUUACUCGAUCGACAACCGGCGGCAACGGAACAAUAAAACGCCGUCCGUGAUGGAACGAUCUUUCACCUGGCAACAACAACAACAACAACAACAACAACAAUUGGACGAUCGACUAGCAGCCAUAACACCGUUCCUAUUGAUCGCGUCACCGAUGUGACAGGUCAGCCAUCAGGAGAAAUUUGGAAAAAUAAAUCGGCGAAAACCGUUUAAUUGUCCGCUCGUUCCAUUCAUCCGCGGCAUUGCAAUUGGUCCAUUUCCCGAUUCACUUCGUGGAACGACUCGAUGUAGCCAAGGCCGAUUUCGGCUGGCCGAUGAAUCCUUUCGCCCUCGGACGGCGAACAAUCCUUUCGGCGAGCGGACGAACGCUCCCUUUGGCGAGAAGGAGAUCGUGCACGAGCGUGUGCGCGAGGAUACCAGAUUGGCGCGAUGACAACGUUGAAGAAGGACGAGAAGAGGGGCUCGAAGAAGUCGAAGAAGAGCGGCGGAGACGAGAAGACGUCCGGUCGAGGCGCGAAGACGGCGAAGCAGGUACCCGCGAAGAAAAGUGAACCGAAAGUGCAAGCAGAGAAAUGGUACGAGGAUCUAUCGAUCUACGACAAUGAUCUCUACAGCGAAGACGUGAAUCUGUCGAAGGAGGAAAAGGGGGGCGGGAGAGCGGAGCGAAAAUCGUUCCGUCGAAAAAUCGGGUUGCUAUUGAGAGGGAGCGCUGCUGAAUUACCGGCCGUGAUAAAUCGCAGCCUGCAACCGAUCAGGCGCAGCCUGAGUUUCAGCAAGGACUUGAACCGCGUCCAGGAACCGUCGAAACCUCACAGGGCGACCAGCGCGCAUUGGUACAACAGUUUGGUGUCCCUGGCGGAGGAUGAAUGUUUGGACGAGUAUGACGACAGCCCGUCAGGAAACAACAGUCCAACGAUCGAGGAACGAUUGUUCUCUUCGAAGGUUCAAGUCACCAGGACGCAAAGUCUCAUCGACACCACUUUCACGAGAAGCCCGAGAAGACGAGUGACCGACCUGCUCAAGCGAACUGCACCUUAUGGACGGCACAGCGACCACUACGACUCGACCAUAGAUUUGAGUAAUCCACCGUUCGAGGCCAGCAGCCUUCCCGCUCUCUCGCACGCGGAUGGAAGCUGCAACGAGCUAAGAUUCCCCCGUGAAGGGGAGCAACAGGUCAGCAACGAAUGGAGGAACCUGAAAGUUCCUGUCGGUCGAAAUCUGUCUUCCCUACAUGUCGGCCCCGUGCACCAUCCAGAGGUGCGUUCGAGGUCGUUGACCCAGCUGGACGCUCUGGGCAGCAAAAUGCUGGACACGGGGGAGCACCAUCUGGGGGGUGGUCCCUCGCAACAGCAAUCCCAUCACCUUCACCACCAUUAUCAACCUCAACAGUUGCAACACCCGCAAAAUGUGGAGAGUAAUCCUCGUUUCCUUGCGCCCACCGCGGCUUCCGCCGAGGGAUCGCGUCAGAAUCGCAGGCACAAACUGUCUCGGUCGCAGGUAUCCAGCAGCGAGUUUUUCAGCGUCAGCUUCGAUCUCUCGGACGAUUCGAGCGGCCUGGACCGGGACGAGUUUCUGCCUGCUGCGAAGGGCACUUACUUGGCCGAGGCGAUCAACGCCGCUUGCGAGAGGCGCGGGAUCGACAUCUCGCGGAUCGAGGUCUUCGAUGGUUUCUCGCCGCCAUUACCGAUCCUCACCACGGACACAUCCAGCCUUGGCGGCAAGCAUUUAAGAAUAACAGUUAAGGACAACGAAAAAUCGAACUCGAGAUCGUCGAGCCAGAGAAGCAACCAGAGCGCCUCCUUGAGAAAGCCGAGCGGGAAUUAUCGGAACCGCAGCGGUCGUUUCUUCAGCGUCUCGACGGAAGACUCGAGCGUCGACUCCGAGGUCGGGAGCAGCACCACGCUCACAUCUGGUCGGAGCUCCGUUGGGGCUGCGGGGCUCAAACCUAGUAAACAGCGGUGGAGCGGCUUCUUCACCAACACGAAGGGCACAAAAAUCGAUCUGCUCACCUCUUUGCUGGACGAUUACAACAAACACGGGGUACCCAAGGAUACACAAUUGUCGUACGAGCUCGCCUUUAACGAGGAUGCCUUGUACUUAGAACAAGAUUGGCGCGACAUCGUUCAAAACUCGGAUCAAUUAUCGGAGAAGCAACAGCAACAACAGACUGCUUUAUGGGAACUGGCUCAAACGGAAGUGGCUUAUAUCAAGACUUUAAAGGUUGUGACAGACCUGUUUAUGGCGUGCCUGUGCAGCCUGCAGGCCUCGAAUAUCCUGAACGAGGUCGACAGGACGAAGCUAUUCAGUAACAUCCCCGAGAUCUACGCCGCGAAUCGCUACUUCUGGACCGAGUACGUCCUGGCCAUGAUAAAUACGUCGAGGACCACUGGGCAACCGCUCGAGCCAGGCCACCUUCUGCAAGGUUUCGAGACGUUCGAGCAAACCUUCGCACCCUACACCAGAUAUUGCGCGGAGCAAAGCAAAUGUCAGCAAUACUGCAGAGACCGUCUCAACGAUAAUCAAUUAUUUACGGUCUAUCUGGUGUGGUGCGAGACUCAGAAGGAUUGCAAUCGAUUGAAACUGCUCGACAUACUGGUGAAACCUAUGCAGAGGUUGACGAAGUACUCUCUGCUCUUGAAGGCUGUUCACAAGAACACGGAGAACGAGGAGCAACGAGCAGAAUUGACUCACAUGAUCAAAUCUGUGGACGACUUCGUGGCGUCUGUGAAUGCAGCGUUGAAGAGGAACGAGGAGACAGCGCGGUUGGCCAGCGCCGCAUCUCGAAUAGAAAGUUACGACGUGGUCGAGUCGAGGGACGAAGAAUUGGAGAAACUGAUUAAAAUUCACAGCACGUUUGACAUUACCACGGUUCCGAUACCGGGUUGCCCGAAAGACACCCUUAGAGUGCUUCUUCGCGAGGGAGAUUUAAAAUUAAGAGAUGCCGUUAGCAGCAAGAUGGAAGUACACAUACUGUUGCUGACAGACAUGCUAUUGAUCUGCAAACCGUCGACCAAGAAAACUUCGUCCAGUGGGCUGACUGGCACCGUUGGGGGCGGUUUGAAGAUUAUAAGACAACCGUACGUAAUCGAUCGUAUCCGAAUACACGAGCUGAAGGAGCCAACCAGUUUAGGCUUGGUUUAUCUGAACGAGUAUGGGGCGGCAUCAGCUGCUCUGGUUCUCAGCGCCGGAGAAUCGAAAUUGGCCAAGUCUUGGAUGGAAUCGAUCAGGAAAGCUCAACAACAAUUCGCGUUAAUGAAAGUGCCACCGCUUGGCAACACGAUGAACUUGACCACUGUCAACAGACAACACAGCAGUUUCCUGGGUGAUGAGUACGAGGCAGAGGAAUGCGAGGGUAUCCCAAAGACGCCUCGAGGGAGUAGCCGGGCGUCGAGGGUGAGCAGCCUCGCCCACAGUCACAGCCAUGAAACCGCUUCCAGUGGGAGUAUAGAGAUGGAAGGCGUUUCGCCUGGAAGCAGCACCUUCCUCCCUAGUUACAAUCCAAGCAGAAAUAUCAGCGUGGAAACGAGCGAACCACCUCGAGCCUCGAGCGUAUCGUCGGAAGAAGGUGGCGACAGUUCCGGUCACAAUCAUAGACCGUUGCAAAUAAGUCCUAACAAAUUUGAUAAUAGACGAUACCCGCUGAGUAAGUCACCGACGCCUAACACGUUGAGUGUCCAAGUGCCGGCGUACUCUAGCUUGGGCCAAUCGCUGCCAAACUUGACCCUAGCCACUUCGCCACAAACUUCAACCGUGUCUCCGACACCGCCAAACUCGCUUCUAAUCGUACCCCAAAUAACAAAAAGCAAGGACACUUUGCUUUCACCAGGGCACCGAGGUAGUAUCUCCUAUCCACCACCGUCACCCCCGAGAGGGGCGCUUAGAAGAGCGUUCGCGAUUCCUCAAUCACGAAAUCCACCUCUCGUUAAAACGAGACACAUAAGCACGUCUGUGACACAAACGGUUCAACCUGCGAUGAAUCUAGACGCGGAUGCCAUUGAAGAGAGGCGAAGAAGGUUGGAACCUUCGCACAGGAUGCCAUCGACCAGCAGCAUCGCGGAGGAAAAGAAAUGACUAGAAUUGGGAUACAAAAGUAACCUAUUAAGAAGAUAAGAUUGAUUGCUAUGGAUCAUCUUACAUUUGAUGAGGGAGUACACAGUUGGAUGAUACGUCAUGUUUAGAAAUAAAAUGCUUGCUUUCUGUUGUCUGUAUGCAAGUGCUGCACACACUUUCAUGCAGGAGCAGAAAGAUGAUUCGAAACGAUCGAGAAGGGAUUCAAAUUGAAUUAAAAAAAAAAAAAAAAAAAAAAAAGUUUGCGUACUCCUUAUGCCUACAAUAUGAAUCGAGCAAUUUUACAAUCGAUUGGGGCCAUUCGAAAUCAACGUGAAGUUUGUUAUUACGAUCGUAUCAUUGUAAUUUGAUUCUAGCGGUGUAACUUUUAGAUCUCAUUUUGUAAUUAAUUCGUCGGGUUGUGACGAUCACGUUUCAAUAUUACUCUAAUUCAUUCAGAAUCCUAAGCGACGAAAACAGAAAAAAGAAAAAGGCCUACCUAGUGUAAUUAAUAUUAACGACUAUUUAUCGUGAUUUAAGUUUAGAUGAUUAUAAUAGUUGGAAAUAAGACGCCUUUAGAGCAACAAUUUUAAAAUAAACGAGUUCGAGUUUCGUGAUUUAACGAUAAUAAAAGCAGGUACGGAUAUUUAGAAAUGAGAACACACACAUACACACAUACACACACACGCGUAGAAAAGUAUUACAUUUCAUGUAGAAGAAGAAGAAGAAGAAAAAAGAAAAAAAAAAAAAGAAACCAAAAGAAAAUGAAAAAUUACGUUAUAUCCCUCGUAUAAGCUUUGAUAAACACACUAAAUGUGGAAAGUUCUCGAAAAGCGAGUGAAAAGAGAGUGAAAGAUAAAUUUUCUUUAGGUACAAAUUAAAUUUCACGAUAUUUUGUUCAAGAGACUGAACUAACGAUUGUCGGAAUGUCGACGAACGUCAACCUAACUAGAGACAACAAUAUGUAAAGAGAAAAGAAGAGCAAUGAUUUUAUACGAGCUCCUUUGCGUAAGGUUUCUUUCAAUCCCCCCCUCCCCCCCUUCCAAAAUUUGCGCUUGUAUUAAGCUUCAAGUGUUAAAAUUAUCAUAAAAAAAAAAAAAAAAAAGAAAUUAUCGAUUGUGCGUGUAUGUACGAUCAUUCAUAAUCAAGGUCAAAAUAUAGUACAUAAUUUAUUAA